rnacentral:rRNA from 1 species
GUAUACAGCCGUACCACCCUGAACACACCUGAUCUCGUCUGAGCUCGGAAACCAAGCAGGGUCGGGCCUGGUUAGUACCUGGAUGGGAGAAACAAAGCUAAAACCAGUUUUCACA